rnacentral:misc_RNA from 1 species
AACAACGAUUUUGAUGCCUGAGUUUUUUAUUCUUAGGCCGAAAUCCUGUCACCUUAGGUCGAUCGGUACCUCAAAUUAAGAAUCAAAGAAGAGCUAAGAAAUUAGCUUGGAGAUUGAUGAUGAAUUUCAGUUCCUAAACCUGUCUAGGUCACACCCCAUUACGGGUACUCCUGGGCCAUUAGCUCAGGUGGUUAGAGCGCACCCCUGAUAAGGGUGAGGUCCCUGGUUCAAGUCCAGGAUGGCCCAUUCGGUGUUGGGGGUUUAGCUCAGUUGGUAGAGCGCCUGCUUUGCAAGCAGGAUGUCAGCGGUUCGAGUCCGCUAACCUCCACUGACCGAGCCUUCUGCAGCGAGCCACAGGAUGACUUUAUGGCGAUGUGAUUUAGAUUAGAUGUUUACUGAGAAGACCCUAGCUUCCUAUCAUUCCAAACUUAAAGAUGAUUUAGGUGAGGUUGACAGGAUGCUGGGCUCACUGUGAUUCGCAAGAAUUACAGAGAUGUUCAGUAGAACCUUGACAACUGCAUAGGUAAGUCUGGAAAAAAUAAAGCAUCUCAUGGAUGCAUUAUUUUUGUGAUCCAGCAGAAGUAAUCUACGAAAGUAGAGAGCUGACGUUGAAGAACGAGAAUAAUGUUUGAUUCUUGAGUCAAGAGCCGAGACUCUAUAACGUCCUUUUGUUGUCGUCGAGACAUCAAGAGUUAGAUUAUUAAUUCAAACCGACUUUGAUGACAAGCGAAAGGGAAACCUAAAGUUUGAGAUUAAAGCUAGGUGAAUUAGUGAGAAUACGUAUUCAACAUACGCGAAGCGUUAUAGAGGUUAAUUUGGUCAAGCUACAAAGGGCUCACGGUGGAUACCUUGGCACACAGAGGCGAUGAAGGACGUGGUUACCUGCGAUAAGUCUCGGGGAGUUGGAAGCACGCAUUGAUCCGGGA